UACGUAGGGGGCGAGCGUUGUCCGGAUUCAUUGGGCGUAAAGAGCUCGUAGGCGGUUCGGCAAGUCGGAUGUGAAAUCUCCACGCUUAACGUGGAGGGGCCAUUCGAAACUGCUGUGACUCGAGUCCGGUAGGGGAGUGUGGAAUUCCCGGUGUAGCGGUGAAAUGCGCAGAUAUCAGGAGGAACACCGGUGGCGAAGGCGGGUCUCUGGGCAGUAACUGACGCUGAGGAGCGAAAGCGUGGGGAGCGAACAGG
rnacentral:rRNA from 1 species